GGCUUUUUGUAGAUAAUUUAAAGUCGGACCUGCCCAAUGAGGAAUUUAAUGGCCGCAGUAAUUUGACUGUGCAAAGGUAGCAUAAUCAAUAGUUUUUUAAUUGAAAGCUGGAAUGAAAGGUUUGAUGAGAGAAUCACUGUCUCUGGUUAAAUUUAUUAGAAUUUUAUUUUUAAGUAAAAAAGCUUAAAUAGGUAUAAAAGACGAGAAGACCCUAUAGAAUUUUAUAUUUAUUAUUAUUUUAGUAUAAAUAGAUUAAAGAGUAUUUUUAUGAUAAAAAGUAUUUGGUUGGGGUGAUUGAAAAAUUAGAUAAACUUUUUUUUUAUUGUAUCAUUGAUUUAUGAAUAAAUGAUCCUAGAAAAGAUUAUAAGAUAAAAUUACCUUAGGGAUAACAGCGUAAUUUUUUUUAGAGUUCUUAUCGAAGAAAAAGUUUGCGACCUCGAUGUUGGAUUAAAAAUUAAUAUUGGUGUAGAAGCUAAUAUGUUUGGUCUGUUCGACCAUUAAAUUUUUACAUGAUCUGAGUUUAAACCGGCGUGAG
rnacentral:rRNA from 1 species